ACCCUCUGCUCGCCGCUCUGUCCCGUCCCCCCACCUAUCCAAAAAAAAAAAAAAAACCCCUCACUCUUUUCUGCCUCUCAGACAAUUUCUUCUUCUUCUAUUUUUUUUUUCUUUUUUUGGCGUUUCGAGGAAGUUUUCAGCAAAUCCACCCUCGCUCCCAGCUCUCGCAGGGCGCGAUAACACCGGAGCCCUCUGAAAGUUUGAGAAAAAGAGAGGAGGAGAAGCAGGGAGCGAGGAAAUAAAGAGCAGCACCUAAGGAAGAGCGAGGAGCCGCGCGGGAGCCGGAGGCUGCCCAGCCGGCAUCACCUCCCGGUGUCCCUGAGGUCCCCCCGCAGCCCCGAGGGACGGGAAUCGCGGAGCGCUCGCUCUCGGCCUCCGGGGCUGGAGCAGCCCGGAUCCCGCUGCUGCUGCCGGGGAAUGAGACACAGCCGGGAGCGGGAGGAUGAGGGGACACGGGACCAGCACACGCAGAAAUGCGGACAGACACACGUAAAUACAGACUAAACGUGCAGUGCGACCGCCCGAGUGCUGGGAUCCAAGAGUUCCUCGUGAAUAAACGUGGCUGUUUGUGCACGGAAAUACCCCCAGGCACAGCACAAAAAUCGCGCGCGUGGAUGUGCAGGCGAGCUGCAGGCUUUGGAACGGUGACGAAAAUGAAAAAGAAGGAGCCGGGCAGAGGCAGGGCUUGGCGAGGCGCGGGCACAGCGCUGCCCUUCCGCACCUCCCACGCGUGGGGUGAAGAUCCCUUUUCCUCCUGGAUGCCAAGCAGAGCGUGAUGAUCCCCAAAUUAAUCCCCAGUGGAGCAGAAGGGAUCCAUUCUCUUCUCCCCGAUCCCUCCAAAAGACAUCUCUCAGGGAGGGGACUCCGGGAAGACAGGGGUCCACCACCCCCUCCCCAGUUUUUCCCCAGUGUUGCCCAGAAGAAGAGGGAAUUGUGCUGCAUUUCUCUUCGUGCCCAUUGCCGUGGGGGAUUUUUUGGCACGGGGCAUCCCCGCUCCAUUCCCCCCGCGGGCACGGCCGGGCUGAUCUGCUCUGCCCAAGCAGGGCUCAGUCAGGGCCUCAUCUCGGCCCCGAGGAGAAAAUAAAAGCUGAUAAGGCCUUCGCUCUCUUCGCUGCCUGGGAAGAAAAGAAAUGGGGGCAAAAAAGGGGAAAUGCUCAGCGCCCCGUGCCUCUCCCUGAGAGCGUUCCUGUCCUGACCUUGGAGGGCGGGCGGGGGUGGCAAAAGGAGCCCGAUCCCGCAGGGUUUGAAUCUUUUCAGUGUCUGAUAAAAAGCCUCAAAGCAUCACCUGUGAAUGUUUUUCCUUCCCUCGCUCUCCCGGGGAGAGCAGCCCUGGGCGGGGGGGAACCCCCGGGCAUCCCCACUUCCCUCAUCCCGGCCGAAUUUCUUCCUCCCUUUCUGUCCAACUCAUUUUUCUUUCCCUCUUUUCUCCUUUCCAAGCCCUCUCGCCUCUUUUCUUCCCCAUUUUCCGUUUCCCCCCCCUUUUCUCGCCCCAGGUCGCUUUUCUUCCCCUGCCCUAAAUAACGCCGAACGACAGCGCAGCGCGGCCGCUCUGGAUAUCCACAUUAUAAUUUGUAUUCCCGGCUAUCCACGAAUUUCGGGAGCGGGAGACGCUCCCAGAGAGGCGGGGGGUGGCUGUGGGCUCGGCCUUGGACCGGUAUCACGAGCAUCCUAAAAUCCAUUUUUAUCUCUGCGGGAAAAAUACAGAUUAUAUCAA